AAUGCAUUUUAUCUCUUAAACAUUCCAUGCUUCCUAUCUCUCUGAUCAGAUCUUCUAUUGAUGAAAAGACUCCAUACAAGUAACAAUCUCUUAAUUAUUUAUUUCAAGUUAAAUAUGGCAUGUGAAUGUAUCUUAAUUUAACGCUUUGACAACCACCAAGAUAACGUUGGUAUUUACAAACAUGUUUUUUUUCUAUGGCUUAUCUUUAGGAAACUAUUUGCCUUGCUUUUGCAUCCACUAAAACAGAAACAUAGAAAGAAGAAGAUAGGUUGUUCAAACAAAACAAAAAAGAAAGAAAGAAGAAGAUAUAAAAAAAACUACAUACAAUCAAGCAAAAGAUAAGUAUACAGAAAACAAAACGAAAUAGCUUUCUCUGCAACAAACGUAGUGAACAAAUGUUCAAAAAAAAAACGUGGUGAACAAUAUAUAAUCCGAAAACAGACUUGAAGAAAUCUUAUCAUGUGGCUAGCAAAUAAUGAUGUGAUGAUGUUUUCAAAGAUGUGGGAAAACAAAAAGAACUAACACUGGAAUGAUGAAAAACAAAUAUAAUGAUACAAAUUGGGUAUUUACAAAUUUGUUUGUUGUGGUUUGGCAAUUUCACAAACCUGUUUUCUUUCUAUAAUAUCAGGAAGAGGAUAUGGCGCUUUGGAGACAGAAUGAAGACAAGUUUACAAAUCAGUUUUCUACAAUGAAGACAUGGUUACACAUGCGCCAGGCACAACCAGUUUGUGAUAGGAGUAGGGGAGUGUGAUUUUCGCAGUCUACUCCUAAGUAUUCUUUCAUGGUAUGGGUGGCCAUUUGAAACAGACUGCAAAUUUGUGAUACAGUUGUGGAAUGUUGUAAUGAAUACACUGUGUGUGCUAUGCCAAGAACAUCAGGAGACCUGUCAGCAUCUAUUUUUUAGAUGUCGGUACUCUGGUAAAAUAUGGAAAGAAUUAGGUGGGGGAAAUAUGAAAGAAGAUUUCACUCUUGACUGGAAUGAGAUUCUAGAAGCAAUAUCUAGAUUCAGACAUACAUCUACAGAAGGGUUUCUUAUUCAUUACACCUUUCAAGCUCUGGUACAUAGUUUGUCAAUUUGAAUCUGAUUACAUCGUUAUGUUCUAAAGAUUUUGUGUCUGCAAGUUCUUAUUUCCCUAAUUUACAAAUACAAACACUACCAAAUU